UGGUAGUUAACUAGUUACGUAUGAAGUAGAUGUUACUGUUGAUAAGUCGAUGUUAUGUACUGUUGUCUUAAAUACAAUGUGAGUUGUGAGCUAGUUACUCCGUACUCCAAUUAGGGUUGAGCAAAGCUAUCUGAUAAUCCGAAAAUCCAAAAUUCCGAUCCGCAUUCGAUUCGAAAAUUUAAGAUAAUCGAUCCGAAAAUUUCGAUUUUGAAUAUCCGAAUAUCUGAAAAAAAGUCGGAUAUCGGAUAUCGGAUCAGGUAUCCGAUCCGAAAUCCGAAAAAAAAACACUUUUUUUACCAUUUUUAAAUAUUUUCAUAUUAUUAGAUGCCCUAAAGACAAAAACUCGGAUAACCCUAAUUUUCCCUCAUAAUCUCAUAUCCGCCUCUUUCUCCUCUAUUUUCUCCCUCCUCUCUCAUCUCAAAUCUACCCUCUUCUCGCUUCUCAGAUCUCCCCGUAAAUCUCUUAGAUCGUUCCACCGUUGUCCGUCGUUGAAACUCACAGCCUCACUCCUCCACCAGCCGCGACUUCCCUCACUCCUCUACCUGCGGGCUGCGGCAGCAACGACCUGAUUUCCCUCGCUCCUCCACCAGUGACGGCUUGCGCUGCUUCCCUUGCUCUGCUUCACAAGCUAAUUGAAUUGAUUGAUGGAUGAUGCUAUUGUAGAAUCUGCUAACUUAGCAAAUCCAUCAAGUGAGGAGGAGCCCUUGGCAUCAAUAGCUGUUGCUGCUGCUGCUGCUGAGGAGCAUGCUGGAAUUGAAAAACCACCACAACCACCUGUUACAAAAAAAGGCCUUCAACCGCGACUAGUGAUGGAGCUGAAAUAAAAAGUAAGAAAAAAAGAUCUUGACUUUGGGAUCAUUUUGAGUUAAUAGUAAAAGAUGGGGAUAAAAGGUCAAAAUGUGUGUAUUGUGAAGUUGAUGUUUGUGGUAUCUCUAAAAGGGGUACAAGUGCUAUGAAAAAUCAUAUAGAAAGGUGUAAGGAAUACCUCCCUAAUGUUGACAAAUCCCAAAGGCUUCUUGCAUUUCAAAUUGAGCAAAGCCAGCAAACAUUAGGAGAUGCUAGUGUAGGUGAUAAUGCAAGUGGGGAAAAAAAAGGGUAAAUUAGAAUUUUGGAAGUUUAGGCAGGAGGAGGGUCGGAAAGCUUUUGCUAAAAUGAUAAUCAUGGAUGAAUUGCCCUUUAGGUUUGCUGAUCGUGAGGGUUUUCGCUACUUUAUGUCUGUUAUUCAGCCUAAUUUCAUUAUCCCCUCUCGUUUUACAGUAGCUAGAGAUUGCUAUCGUGUGUUUUUAGAUGAAAAAACAAAUCUGAAAAGUUAUUUUAGCAAGUGAUCUUCUCAUAUUUCUCUCACUACUGACACAUGGACCUCUUGCCAAAAUCUGCCAUACAUGUGUUUAACAGCCCAUUUUAUUAUCACAAUUGGAACUUACACAAAAAAAUUUAAAUUUUUGUCCAAUUAGUGGCCAUUCAGGUGAGGCUAUUGGUAAAGCGGUAGAAAAAUGUUUGCUUGAGUGGGGUAUCACUAAGGUAAUGACCAUUACCGUGGACAAUGCAAGCUCAAAUGAUGUAGGGGUCCAAUAUUUGAGGAAAAGGUUACUAAGAUGGAAAGAUGGGACUGUUUCAGAGGGUAAAUUUGUGUAUAUGCGGUGUGCAACUCACAUUCUUAAUUUGACAGUAAGAGAAGGUUUGAAAUAAUGUGAUGAAUCAAUAAAAAGAAUUCGUAAUGUUGUUCGAUUUGUUAGAUCUUCCCCUACCAGAUUACAAAAAUUCAGAAAUUAUAUAAAUCAAGAACAAAUUGAAUCUAAACGUCAGCUUUGCUUGGAUGUUGAAACUAGGUGGAACUCCACUUAUUUGAUGUUGGAGUAUGCUUUGAUUUUUCGUAAGGCUUUUGAUUUGCUUGAAAAUUCUGAUGGUGGUAAUUUUUUUUCUGAGUUAACAAAGAUGUCGGGUGUUCUUACUGAUUUGGAUUAGGAUCGUGUUGCUUCUUUUAUUCCCUAUUCUUAAGAUUUUUUAUGAUGUUACUUUGAGACUCUCAGGAUCUUUGUAUGCUACUACUAAUGUGUAUUUGUUAGAACUUGUGACAAUUGGCAAGAUGAUUAAAAAAAAAGUGUGAUAGUGUUGAUAUUAGGGAAAGGUCAAUGACCAAUGGAAUGAAGAAAAAGCAUGACAAGUAUUGGGAAAAUGUGGAUAACAUUAACUUGAUGUUGUAUGUUGCUGUUGUGCUUGACCCUAGACGUAAAAUGCAUUAUGUUAAGUGGGCUAUUAAUGAUCAAUAAUGAUUCUGACAAGGCCACACAGUUGUAUGAUAUAAUGAUGGGAACUUUGACUUCUUUGCAUGAACAUUAUGCUGCUUUACAAUCUCAAAAUGUGUCAAGUGUUUCUGAAAAUAUUGAUUUGACUUCAAAAGACUUUGAAAACUAUAAUGAUUGGAAUGAUGUUGCUGAUUAUGAGUUUGAGAGGAAUAUUGGUGGACAAAUAGUUUUUGACAAAAAAAGUGAUUUGGACAAGUAUUUGAUGGAUGAUAGAGAGCCUAAUAUUAUCGGUAAGAGUUUUGAUGCUUUGGGAUGGUGGAAAAAAGCGGUGAAGAGAUAUCCUAUAGUUGGUCUUAUGGCUAGGGAUGUAUUAGCCAUUCCGGUCUCCACGGUUGCAUCCGAAUCUGCAUUUAGCACCGGUGGGAGAGUACUUAAUCCAUUUCGUAGUUCACUUUCUUCACAUAUGGUUGAAGCUUUGAUAUGUGCACAAGAUUGGAUGCGCACUACACGUGGUCCACUUGUGAUUGAAGAAAGUAUCGAUGACAUUCAACAAAUUGAAAAGGAAUUGUCGUCUCUUGUAGAUCCGCCUUCGGUUUCCGUCGUUGAUGAUUAUUUUUAGCAUUAGAAGGGUUGUUGACUUGCCGUACACUCGUACUUUGUUGAUCCGUUAUUGGUUUCCGGCGUUGAUGACUUAUUUAGUGUUAGAUAAAAUGUUUAUGCAUUGUUAACAUUUGGACAUUAAUGUUUUUGGACUUCAAAUUUUCUUAUGUAAUUGGUACUUUUGUUGCAAUUAGCUAAUUAGUUUGCAUUUUGAAGGUUGUGUAUAAUUUUAUUAUGUAAUUUCUGAAAAUUAGUUGUUGGACAAUAAUUUCAAGUCUAUUUUAUCCCUCUUUGUUCAGGUUAUGAAUUAAUUGUCUACAUAGUAAAAAAAGGUCCACAAGACAAUAAUGUGUGAAAAAAUGGGUGAAAAAAUCAAUUUUGCCAUUAAAAAAACCCCGCAAUUAAAGAAGUUGGAUAUAGGAUAUCCUACUUAUCCGAUCCAAAAAUUUCAGAUAUCCGGAUUUACGGAUAUCCAACAUUAUCGAAUCGGAUACGGAUAUCUAAUAUCCGAAUUUUCGGAUAUGGAUAUCCAAUCCAUGCUCAGGCCUAACUCCAAUAUAUUGGGCUUCUAAUAUCUGAACAGUCAAUAUUCAAAAUAUGAAAAUAUGCUUUAACAAAACCAACCCCCCCAAAAAAAAAAAAAAAAAAGGUACAUAUUUGGAAAAUCAAAAGUACAAUCUGUAACACAAAAUUGGACCGUAAAGGCUCUGAAUCUCGAGCAUGGAAUGCAAAAAACAUGACCUGAUUAUGGAUAAAUAAACAAUGUACAUCCACCGGCCCUUGACCCUACUAUGUACAAAUUACAUCAUCAAUUCAUCAUACUCCGUACAUUCUUUUUGACAAAGGCA